GAUGCUUCAGAUUUAGUUUUCAGUUUUGUCAUCCAUCUAAUUGUGUAUAUAUGUGGCAGAGAAAUAUGAAAUUUUGAUGUAAAUGUUCAUUAAUCAUAACUGACAAUGCUCGAUGCAUGGGUGAGAGUGGAGGCCGGCUGAGGAAGACGACGCCAUCAAAGGGGAUGGAGUUCAUAUUGCAGCCUAUCAAAUGGUUUUAAGAUCCGGAAUAAGUGACUAGGCAAUUGUGUUGUUAAUUUGGUUUAACAGCUUCAAAGGGCACUGAGAAUGAAGUUUGCAUUCUACGAAACUCAUUGCUACCUUGCGACCAUAAUUUACCUUCCGAGCGCAAGAGGUGCAGUCAUCACCGUUCCUGCCGUCCUUGGGCUGGGCCGUCAAGAAACUCCUGCAGUUCUCUCUACGUGCACCGUCGAGGUCACCGAAGGUCUCACAAAUCAAUCAGGUGAACCUUUAAUUCGAUCUGGGGUAUUUUGUGGUUUGCAUGACUAAUAUUGCACUUUUGGCACUUGGUGGUGGGUCAGAACUUUUUGAUCUGCAAUUUCAUCUACCAACCAAUCUUCCUCUGAUAGAUACUAGAAACAUUUUUUGGGACAGGAAGAAAUUGCUAUUCCGGAGUUUAAUUAAUCAUUUGAUAAUCCCUUUGGAAAAUACAUGUGAUCUGGAGCAUGAAAAUCAUUCUCAUAUAUAGAUAUAGGAGGAAAUGUGGCCUAUGCAAGAGUGUUUUUUAGACCUGUAUUUUUACAAGGAGGUUCAUACUUAUACAUACGAAGAUUAGAAUUUGACUAGAUGCAUAAGUUUGGCUGGUUGAGAAAUUUGAAUUCACUAUCCCUCAUAAAGUGUAUGUUUGGUGGGUGCACGUGCAUUAGAGAAUAAAUAAGAAUCAUGGGGCUUCCAGCGCUCUAGAAUUCUAGCAUUGGGAUUAUCUUAGGUUGCCGAUUACUGUACUGAAAAUGUGUAAUUAGAUAUGACGCGUACAUAAGAAUUGUGCAGCAAUCUUGUCUUACAAAGUGGGAUCAAGAGGGAUACUGAAGAAAUGAAGAUGCAGAGUCUCUGUUUCCUAUGAUUACUUCUCAUGUUCAUGUCGGCUUCCUUGGGCUUUACUUCCUACCACCAGAUGCAUUAAACUGGACCGUAUCAAGAGGGGAUGCGGAACGCACUCCUUUAUAUACUUCUUUCCCCGGGAAGUGAAGGUUAUGUUUUUUAAUAUCAUGUGAGCUGCACUUUGUUUUUGUUAAAGAGAAUAUUAGAACUGGACUAUUUGUUUGGACAAAAACAAUGGGGGAGCUUCUUAUUGUACAGAUACAAACUAUUGUAGUAAAAAUACAAAAAAGCGGUCCACAAGAUCUAAGUAGUAACAUGGAGUGCUUUCAUGCAUCAGUUUGCCUUGUGCAGAGAAUAUGUGUAAAAUGUAAGAGUUGUUUUUGCCGAACUUUAGCCAUAGUAUGUUUGUCUAGACGUGCGUUGCACGUGCAUGUUUACUAUCACGUAAACUGAAGCACUAAAUGGCUAGAAAGUAUUGUACUAUAGCAGCCCAAUUGAAAUGCAAACGGUUUAACCAAUCGAAAUGCAAACGGUUUUCAGACUUCAAAACUGAAACUGAAACCGAAACUUGAAAACCCCAAAAUUUUGGCUCGGUUUGGUUUUUGGUUUACGGUUCGGUUUUGCACACCCGGAAGCGACCAGUGCUAUGCAUUCGACAAUAUCUUACACAUGAUACAGACAGGUGUGCACAUGGAACUCAAAGAAAACUACUGUUGUGCAUACGUGACAUGUCCAGUUUGAAGUGCCAAAUUUUAGGUUCAACAACUUUAGACAGAAAAGUAGCUACUUUGGGAUAGGGGCAAAUUGGCUCCCGAGCUCAUCUACACUGGCCAUGAACAGUAAAAUCAAAUAAAAUACUAGAAAAAAUAAAAAAAAUUCCUUUUUGCAAGAUAGACAUUUCAGUGUGUGAGGUCCAUGCCAAAUUUCAGCUCAUUUGGACAUCUGAGUAGCUCUCAGCAAAAUAGACAAAUUUGAUGUUUGUGAAACAGUGUACUGUUCAUGUACUAUUUUGGCAGUUUUCUUUUGCUAAGAGCUACUCAGAUGUUCAAACAAGCUGAAAUUUUGCACGGACCUCACGCACUGAAACAUCUUCCAUGCACUUUUUAUUUAUUUUUUGUAGUAUUUAUUUUAUUUUACUGUUCAUAUGGUGCUGAUGAGAUCGCGCUCAGAAAUGGAUAUUUGCUACUUUGGACGAAUAUUCUUUCUGAGCCUUGGCUCAACUGAACCUGAUAUCUCCACCGUCUAGUUGAGAAAAAGGGUUUCCCCCCGCUUUAUAUUAUAAAACAACGAACCAAGCAUCCAACACAGCAGUACAGAGUACAAACAAGUCAUAAAGUCAUGCUGGGGGCACAGCAAGACAAGCCCCAAACAAAGCUAAAAAAGCUAAUCCGGCUUAGGAGGCAGUGGAGGGGCAAAAGCCGACGCCGAAGAACGAAGACCCGCAAUGAUGUUGUCGAUGACGUCUCGGUCGCGCCGCUUGCUAAGCGGUCUCCAAAGCUGUAAGAAGCCACACAUUUUAUAGAUUGCAUCGGUCACACGACGAGGAAUCACACGCUCAAUGACUAGUUUAUUAUGGGUACACCAGAGGGUCCAUGCCAGGGUACCCAGAGCUACCCAAGUGGGAGGGCGACUAGCGUCGGGGAGUCUAAAGACCUCCCCAAACUAGUCCGGGAGGUUGUCGUGGCACCAAUCGCCGCCAACCACCU